rnacentral:lncRNA from 1 species
AUGCAACUCCUGCAAAGAGAGGGGAGGGGAGAUAAACAGCGAAGGAGUCCCGUGCCCACACUAAAGAUGGCAACCUGCUGCGCUCACUCUGGGUGGGGGAGCGGGUUCCAGUCGCCAGGCCUCGCUGGGCGAGGCGCAGACGGAAGGGGCGUCUCUCGAGCUGGUUGUCAUUUCACUCGGCUCGGUCCUGAGGAGAAGGACUCAGCCGCGGCUGCGGGACCCGGACACCGGGAGGCGGUGGCGGCGGCGGCGGCGGCGGCAUCGGCGACAGCAGAGGAGGAAGAGGAGGAAGAAGGAGAGCAAAAGAAGAGCCAGGCGGAGUCCGCAACAACGACAGCGGGGACUGCGGGACCGGGGCAAAGUGACGGCGGCGGCGGCGACGACGGCCCAGCAACCGUGAGGAGAAACAAAAGCCUUCUAAAUUAUAGAUUUUUUUUUUUAAUCUGAGGGAAAGAAGAGAGAGCACAAAGGGGGGAGGCCCUUUUCUUUUAGAAUAACUACACUAGUGGGUUUUCCCUUUUUUUCCUCUCCCUGCCCCCCCCCCCCCCCCCAGCCCCCCCACCCCCCCCUGCGGAGAAUCGAACUGAGAGAACUGAACAAACCGCCCCUGGGUCCCAUGAGGGAAAAAAACCCCGGAGCCGCAGAGAGGGGAAGAGGCCGAAACUGCAGGACCUUCCAGGUCGCCCCGUUGGUCCCCGCACCCCCGGGCCGCCAGCUCCCUGUCGUCGAGUCUCGCUAAUCCUUGCUGAUCGCGAUUCCCCCCAAGAGGGAGAAACGGGUGUUUCCAACCCCUUUCAUGGGGGAGAGGAGGCCGGGGGGGAGCCCAGGAACAGCGACCGCAGCAAGAUCUGCACCCAGAGCCUCAGGAACAGCCCCCGAGGCCAAAACUGCGCCCCGUGAAAGAGCAGAAACAGGACCGGGAACAGCAGAGACCUCCCUGCGAUCAUCUUUCCAUUAGUCAAUGCUGAUUUCCUCUCCCGCAACCAGGAAUUCACCUCCCGCCCCAGAUAACCUAAUAUAAUCUAUAUAUAUAAAUAUAUAAUAUAUAAUGUUCUUAAAUUAUUCCUGAUUUUUUUUAACCAAGCUGCCAAGAAAAAAAACGUAUUCUCCUCUUAGCCCUAUUCUAAUUUUUAUGUGAGUGAAUCUAAACUGCUGAGGAAGACCAUAUGUGAUUGUUAAAUUAUAUAUAUAUAUAUAUUUUUACUCCGCGCAAGGCUUAUUCUUCUACAUCCAUAGAUGCUUGAGAAGCUGUGUUUUUGUCAUUCAUGUACAUUUUCCUUUGGAAAAAGAAAGCGCCUAUUUUACUAACCAAAGACUUGAGUUUUGCCCUCUUCGUUUUUAUUCCCUCCUAGAAACAAGCCCCGUCGGAUUCAUGUCCAUGUGUUAAGAGACUUUUUUUUUUUUUUUUUUUUUAGUUUUUUUUUUCUUUCAGAGACCAGAAUUCCAA